rnacentral:rRNA from 1 species
AUUGAACGCUGGCGGCAUGCUUUACACAUGCAAGUCGAACGGUAACAGGCCGCAAGGUGCUGACGAGUGGCGAACGGGUGAGUAAUGCAUCGGAACGUGCCCAGUCGUGGGGGAUAACGCAGCGAAAGCUGCGCUAAUACCGCAUACGAUCUAUGGAUGAAAGCGGGGGACCGUAAGGCCUCGCGCGAUUGGAGCGGCCGAUGUCAGAUUAGGUAGUUGGGGGGGUAAAGGCUCACCAAGCCAACGAUCUGUAGCUGGUCUGAGAGGACGACCAGCCACACUGGGACUGAGACACGGACCAGACUCCUACGGGAGGCAGCAGUGGGGAAUUUUGGACAAUGGGCGCAAGCCUGAUCCAGCAAUGCCGCGUGCAGGAAGAAGGCCUUCGGGUUGUAAACUGCUUUUGUACGGAACGAAACGGUCCGGGUUAAUACCCUGGGCUAAUGACGGUACCGUAAGAAUAAGCACCGGCUAACUACGUGCCAGCCGCCGCCGUAACAC